rnacentral:rRNA from 1 species
UACAGAGGUCCCGAGCGUUGUUCGGAUUCACUGGGCGUAAAGGGUGCGUAGGUGGCAUGUUAAGUUUGGUGUGAAAGCUCAGGGCUCAACCCUGAAAUGGCAUUGAAUACUAGCGUGCUGGAGGUUUGGAGGGGGGACUGGAAUUCUCGGUGUAGCAGUGAAAUGCGUAGAUAUCGAGAGGAACACCAGUGGCGAAGGCGAGUCCCUGGACAACACCUGACACUGAGGCACGAAAGCUUGGGGAGCAAACAGG